UCUAAACACAGUCUACUCCCUCCGUCGUGUCCAACUUUGACUGUCCGUCUUAUAUGAAAUUUUUUUAUAAUUUGUAUUUUCAUUAUUGUUAGAUGAUAAAGCAUGAUUAAUAUUUUAUGCUUGACUUAUCUUUUUAAUUUUUUUUCAUAAUUUUUUUAAACAAGACGGACGGUCAAAUAUUGAAGACGGAAACUAGGGUUUGUCCUUUUU
rfam:Oryza sativa Japonica Group DNA, chromosome 3, cultivar: Nipponbare, complete sequence.